rnacentral:rRNA from 1 species
GCAACACAAUCUACCAUCCCCAAUGUGCCCAAACUCACCUGAACUUAGGAGACAUGCAGCAUCAGGCUUGGGCAGUACUUAGAUGGCAAACCCCCUGGGGAUACUGGGCUUUCU